AACGAACGCUGGCGGCAUGCCUAACACAUGCAAGUCGAACGAGACCUUCGGGUCUAGUGGCGCACGGGUGCGUAACGCGUGGGAACCUGCCCUUAGGUUCGGAAUAACUACCCGAAUGGGGUGCUAAUACCGGAUAAUGUCUUCGGACCAAAGAUUUAUCGCCUUUGGAUGGGCCCGCGUUGGAUUAGCUAGUUGGUAGGGUAAAAGCCUACCAAGGCGACGAUCCAUAGCUGGUUUGAGAGGAUGAUCAGCCACACUGGGACUGAGACACGGCCCAGACUCCUACGGGAGGCAGGAGUGGGUGAUAUUGGACAAUGGGCGAAGGCCUGAUCCAGCAAUGCCGGGUGAGUGAUGAAGGCCGUAGGGUUGUAAAGCUCUUGUACCCGGGAUGGUAAUGACGGUACCGGGAGAAUAAGCUCCGGCUAACUCCGUG
rnacentral:rRNA from 1 species